AUUUAACAAUUACGCAUUUGAUUUUACGAUUAUCACUAUCCUGGCCCUUGGCCACCGUCUGUCUCACUCACGCCUAUAGAGCUAACAAUUGGUCACCAACGCGGGAGCAAGAAAAUUACACGCCAAUGAAUUCAGCUUAAAGGUACUUAAAUUCGUCGUUGUAGAACAAAGCACGAACAGGCCUCUAUUGUCUGGACGACAUCUCAAUUUAAUUCACCUUAGCAAAGGCACACACGCUACCCUUACAACAGUUUAUCCACGUCUGACCACGGCAGCACAAUCACCAACAUAAUGCCAGCUUUGAGCCGUGCUAUUUAACCCAUUCUCGACGCUAACUGACCAAUUGUCCAUUUCAUAAUUAAUUAUUAGUACGAGUUAAUAAUAAAUCAGGCUGUGAUUUAUGCAUAAAGUAUCUAAAUUUAUUUAAAAUAAAUAAAUUCAUUACUGCCAACUGUUGCGCCACCGCGCAUGCGUCAACCGGCCUAAAUAAUCAUAAGCAUAUAAAUAAAAUGCGCAAUUAUUUAUGACAGCAUUACAAUGAUCCAAUUAUAUAUUUAACGUAAUCAGUAAAUUUUUCUGGUUCUGCAGUAAUUUAUACCUAAGAAAUAUGUUAUGUAAUAUAGACACAGUAAUUAAAAGAAAAUAGUAAAUGUAAAUAAAACAAUAAUAACAACAAUGGAAGGUGAGACGUGGGAGCAGCGUGUGCUGCCAUCUGUUGCCCACCGACCUGAUGUAAAACUGCCGCGAUAUUCAAAUAUUGUGACAAAUCUGUCGACCAAAUGACUCCUAUAGACCAACGUAAGGCACGCAAGGGAUGGAAGAAGAAAGCAAGAAAGCGUAGGAAACGACUUGCCUUCAAAAUAUUAGUAAUGUCCCCGCAACACCAUCUAUUUCGGAUGAUAAUGCUCAAACACCGCAAAGGAAUGUUGAUAAAAGAAUUACAGCUGCUAAAAUUAAAUCAGACCGAGCUAGAAGACAAAGAUAUUUAAGAAGCUGUAGGACAGUGAGACGUCGGUAAUUCAGUCUUGUACCAGUGACAGCAAACGCCACCAGCGGCAAAAUUAUUAAUUAAACAGUAGUGUCAAUCUUAUCGAUCAAAAUAAAAUUGUAGAUUAGCUACAUCUACGUCACUUAUUUGUAUUAUUCAACUACAAUUAUUGGGAAAUCAACAUGAUUUUAUGUUCAACUGUAAUAAAAUUAUUUAAUGAAUGAACAACCAAUUUGACAUAACUAGGUUGCGAAUAUUUGUUCAGAAUAGCUCUGAUAUUGAAAGAUAAACAUUCAACCAUAUCGUUACUCAUCAAAGUGGCUUGCAGGCAAACCGUCAAAAGUAAAAAUUUCAGAAGUAUACC